rnacentral:snRNA from 10 species
AAAAAGGGCUUCUGCCGUGAGUGGCACACGUAGGGCAAAUCGCUUGCUCUACGUGCGGAAUCGACAUCAAGAGAUUUCGGAAGCAUAAUUUUUGCACCGCAGGGCAGCUAGUGAUCGUUGGUCCUGGCGCCCCG